rnacentral:rRNA from 1 species
CCUACGGGAGGCAGCAGUGAGGAAUAUUUGUCAAUGGGCUUACGCCUGAACCAGCCAAGUCGCGUGAGGGAAGACUGCCCUAUGGGUUGUAAACCUCUUUUGUCAGGGAGCAAUUGGCGCUACGUGUAGCGUUAUCGAGAGUACCUGCAGAAAAAGCAUCGGCUAACUCCGUGCCAGCAGGCGCGGUAAUACGGGGUAUGCGAGCGUUAUCCGGAUUGAUUGGGUUUAAAGGGUGUGUAGGCGGAAUGCCAAGUCAGCGGUAAAAUCGCGGGGCUCAACCUCGCUCCGCCGUUGAAACUGGCGUUCUUGAGUGGGCGAGAAGUAUGCGGAAUGCGUGGUGUAGCGGUGAAAUGCAUAGAUAUCACGCAGAACUCCGAUUGCGAAGGCAGCAUACCGGCGCCCAACUGACGCUGAAGCACGAAGGCGUGGGUAUCGAACAGGAUUAGAUACCCGUGUAGUC